rnacentral:rRNA from 1 species
ACGCUCGACACCUACGGGAUGCAGCAGUGAGGAAUAUUGGUCAAUGGGCGCAGGCCUGAACCAGCCAAGUAGCGUGAAGGAUGACUGUCCUAUGGGUUGUAAACUUCUUUUAUAUGGGAAUAAAGUUUUCCACGUGUGGAAUUUUGUAUGUACCAUAUGAAUAAGGAUCGGCUAACUCCGUGCCGGCAGCCGCGGUAAUCUGAGCGGGCUGGCAAGGC